rnacentral:rRNA from 1 species
GACGUAGGGGGCGAGCGUUGUCCGGAUUUAUUGGGCGUAAAGAGCUCGUAGGCGGCUCAGAAAGUCGGGUGUGAAACCUCCAGGCUCAACCUGGAGACGCCACCUGAUACUGCUGUGGCUAGAGUCCGGUAGGGGAACACGGAAUUCCCGGUGUAGCGGUGAAAUGCGUAGAUAUCUGGAGGAACACCGAUGGCGAAGUCGGCAUCCUGGACCAACACUGACGCUGAGGCGCGAAAUCGUGGGGAGCAAACAGG